UAGCCGUAAACGAUACUCGCUAGGUGUCGGCCACGGUGCGACCGUUGUCGGUGCCAUAGGGAAGCCGUGAAGCGAGCCACCUGGGAAGUACGGCCGCAAGGCUGAAACUUAAAGGAAUUGGCGGGGGAGCACCACAACGGGUGGAGCUUGCGGUUUAAUUGGAUUCAACGCCGGAAAUCUUACCGGGACCGACAGCAACAUGAAGGCCAGGCUGAAGACUUUGCCGGAUUAGCUGAGAGGAGGUGCAUGGCGUAGUCGUGU
rnacentral:rRNA from 1 species